rnacentral:rRNA from 1 species
UGGGGAAUAUUGCACAAUGGGGGAAACCCUGAUGCAGCGACGCCGCGUGAGCGAAGAAGGCUUUCGAGUCGUAAAGCUCUGUCCUAUAAGAAGAUAAUGACGGUAUCAUAGGAGGAAGCCCUGGCUAAAUACGUGCCAGCAGCCGCGGUAAUACGUAGGUGGCAAGCGUUGUCCGGAAUUAUUGGGCGUAAAGCGCGCGCAGGUGGUUUAGAAAGUCUGAUGUGAAAGCCCACGGCUCAACCGUGGAGGGUCAUUGGAAACUAAUAAACUUGAGUGCAGGAGAGAAAAGUGGAAUUCCUAGUGUAGCGGUGAAAUGCGUAGAGAUUAGGAGGAACACCGGUGGCGAAAGCGGCUUUUUGGCCUGCAACUGACACUGAGGCGCGAAAGCGUGGGGAGCAAACAGG